rnacentral:tRNA from 1 species
GAAGGGGUGGCCGAGUGGUUAAUGGCAGCAGACUGUAAAUCUGCCGACGAGAGUCUACGAAAGUUCGAAUCUUUCCCCCUUCACCA